ACUCCUGCGGGAGGCAGCAGUGGGGAAUAUUGGACAAUGGGCGCAAGCCUGAUCCAGCCAUGCCGCGUGAGUGAUGAAGGCCCUAGGGUUGUAAAGCUCUUUCACCGGUGAAGAUAAUGACGGUAACCGGAGAAGAAGCCCCGGCUAACUUCGUGCCAGCAGCCGCGGUAAUACGAAGGGGGCUAGCGUUGUUCGGAUUUACUGGGCGUAAAGCGCACGUAGGCGGACUAUUAAGUCAGGGGUGAAAUCCCGGGGCUCAACCCCGGAACUGCCUUUGAUACUGGUAGUCUUGAGUUCGAGAGAGGUGAGUGGAAUUCCGAGUGUAGAGGUGAAAUUCGUGGAUAUUCGGAGGAACACCAGUGGCGAAGGCGGCUCACUGGCUCGAUACUGACGCUGAGGUGCGAAAGCGUGGGGAGCAAACAGGAUUAGAAACCCCGGUAGUCCCAUGAU
rnacentral:rRNA from 1 species